rnacentral:lncRNA from 1 species
CAACAUUUCAAUUAGGCAGCUCUUCUGAAAUUAGAGGUUAUGAAAGUACACAUUUCUAGGUGUGGAAAACACCAUCUGUCAAGGAGUCCCGAGCCGUUUGGCGUUCUGAGGCAGGGACAUUGCGGGGCUCAGGCCUUGCAGGCUUUAGCUGAGACGUAUCCAGUGACCAUCACCACACCGGGUGAGCGAGUGGCUUCCUGCAAGGCCAUAAUAUCAGAGUCUGUGGCCAGGGCAGUGAUUAAUGACCUUAUUUGCAGAAAGAAACCCUCAGGGAGAAGCCAAGUGCCAAGGAGAGAGGCUGGCGAGGCCCUCCCCAACAGACUGAGAAGGGCAAGAGGGAUGUGGACAGCCACCAAGAAAGCAGAUGGAGAAAACACUACAAUGAACCCUCAUGUACUAAACACCAAGCUUCAUUAUAUAAGAUGGUUAAUCCCGUUUCACACCUAAACAAUUCCCCACUUUCUGUCCAGCUUCCAGACAUCAUGUCAUCUCAUCCAAGGGUAUGUAUUCUGGGAAGU